rnacentral:rRNA from 1 species
ACGGGAGGCAGCAGUGAGGAAUAUUGGUCAAUGGGCGGAAGCCUGAACCAGCCAAGUCGCGUGAAGGAAGAAGGUAUUAUGUAUUGUAAACUUCUUUAGACGUAGAGAAAUAAGGGGAUCGUGAUCCCUGAUGCUAGUAUACGUAGAAUAAGGAUCGGCUAACUCCGUGCCAGCAGCCGCGGUAAUACGGAGGAUCCGAGCGUUAUCCGGAUUUAUUGGGUUUAAAGGGAGCGCAGGCGGCCUUUUAAGCGUGUUGUGAAAUGUAGUGGCUCAACCUCUGCACUGCAGCGCGAACUGGAGGGCUUGAGUACGCGGGAAGUAGGCGGAAUUCGUCGUGUAGCGGUGAAAUGCUUAGAUAUGACGAAGAACUCCGAUUGCGAAGGCAGCCUACUGUAGCGUUACUGACGCUAAAGCUCGAAAGUGUGGGUAUCGAACAGGAUUAGAUACCCUGGUA